UACGAGGGGGGCGAGCGUUGUUCGGAAUUAUUGGGCGUAAAGGGCGCGUAGGCGGUCGGAUAAGUCUUGUGUGAAAUCUUCGGGCUCAACUCGAAGUCUGCACAGGAAACUAUCUGGCUUGAGUGUGGGAGAGGUGAGUGGAAUUCCGAGUGUAGAGGUGAAAUUCGUAGAUAUUCGGAAGAACACCAGUGGCGAAGGCGGCUCACUGGACUGGUAUUGACGCUGAGGUGCGAAAGCGUGGGGAGCAAACAGG
rnacentral:rRNA from 1 species